UAAAGUUUGCGUGUUCUUUCCCCCGUUUUUCUAUGGCUUCUUCCACCAUUAAUCGAUGGCUGAGGCCUGAGGUGUAUCCACUUUUUGCAGCCGUAGGCGUUGCUGUAGGGAUCUGUGGAAUGCAAUUGGUUCGUAAUAUCUGUACCAACCCUGAAGUCAGGGUGACAAAGGAAAACAGGGCAGCAGGAGUGCUGGAUAAUUUUUCAGAAGGGGAGAAAUAUUCAGAGCAUGCUCUAAGGAAGUUUGUUCGAAACAAGUCUCCGGAGAUUAUGCCAUCAAUCAACGGCUUCUUCAGUAAUCCAAACUAAUGUCCUAGUCAAGUUUAAUUUGGAUUAACACCAUUAUUCUUUGUCUUCUUUUCCAUUGAAUGAGAUAGACAUGAAAUGCAUUUUUCUGGCCCUAAAAGAUAUUUGAAAGAAACUUGAAUAAAUGUAAUCAGAACCACAAGUUCCCCUCUCUUUUGACAGGGCACAUCUUUUCAUAUGAUAUUGAACUGUUGUUUUCCGGAUACG
rnacentral:misc_RNA from 1 species